rnacentral:rRNA from 1 species
UGGUGGAGUGAUUUGUCUGGUUAAUUCCGAUAACGAACGAGACCUUAACCUGCUAAAUAGCCAGAUCGUCUUUGGAUGGUCGCCGGCUUCUUAGAGGGACUGUCAGGAUCUACCUGACGGAAGUUUGAGGCAAUAACA